UGGGUGAGGAAGCACUUGCAGAGAAGCAACAAUUUCUUUUGUUUUCUUGAUGAAGAAAUUAGUCUCUGGGAUGUAGAAGAACAAUGGAAGGCCCUGAAAAUAGUGGAUUUGGCCCUUCAAUGUGCUCAACUCGAGCCAAGCACCAGGCCUGCAAUGAGGGAUGUAGUAAGGUCUCUUGUCGAAUUAAAUAAAAGAUGUAAAGAGAAUAAAUGAAACUUUUAGCAGUGAAACCCAUGAUCAACUUUACCAAAUUCAAACAUCUUUUUUUUUUUUUUUUUGCUUACAUAAAAAAUUGGACUAAGAAAAUCAUGAUGUUUUAGCUUAACAUAAUCGAGAAAAUCAACUCUUAGUCCGUUUUUAUUUGCCGUGGUGAUGGAUGUGUUGACGUGGAGUAUACAAGGCGAGGUGCCUUGGUGUAUGCUUUUUGCGGAUAAUGUAGUUUUGAUUAAUGAGUCGCGGCAAGGUGUUAAUGAUAAGCUGGAGGUUUGGAGACAAACUUUAGAGUCUAAAGGUUUCAGAUUGAGCAGGACCAAUACGGAGUAUUUGGAGUGCAAGUUUAGUGACUCGAGGCAAGAGGAUGAGGUAGUAGUGAAGUUGGACUCAGGAUAGUUUUAAGUAUCUUGGGUCUACGAUUCAGGGGAACGGAGAGAUAGAUGAGGAUGUCUCUCACCGUAUUGGGGCAGGUUGGAUGAAAUGGAGGCUCGCUUCGGGAAUUUUAUGCGAUAAGAAGGUGCCUCCCAAGCUUAAAGGCAAAUUCUAUAGAGUUGCAGUCCGGCUGGCUAUGUUGUAUGGAGCGGAGUGUUGGCCGGUUAAGAAUUCUCAUAUACAAAAGUUGAAGGUGGCGGAAAUGAGGAUGUUGCGUUGGAUGUGUGGAUUUACAAGGGCUGACGGGGUUAGGAAUGAGAUUAUUCGGGGGGAGGUGGGAGUGGUGUCGGUGGAGGAUAAAAUGCGGGAAGUGAGGUUGAGAUGGUUUGGUCAUGUGAUGAGGAGAGGCACGGAUGCUCCAGUUCAUAGGUGUGAGAGGUUGGCCUUGGAUGGUUUCAAACGGGAUUGGGAUAGACCGAGGAAAUACAGGAGAGAAGUGAUUAGACGUGACAUGGAGCAGUUACAGCUCACUGAGGAGUUACAGCUCACCGAGGACAUGACCCUGAAUAGGAAAGUUUGGAGGAAAAAUACUAGGAUAGAGGGAUAAGGUGGGUGGAUGUAUCGUAGUCAGUAGUUAGGAGGACUUUGGUGUCCUUUGUUUGGCAAUGUGCAAUAUUUUUGUGGAUGUUGUACCUAUGUUAGUUUUAUCAUGUUUCAUGCUUUUGAUGUUUUUGUAUAUUGUCGUUUGUCUUGAGCCGGGGGUCUAUCGAAAACAGCCUCUCUACUUCUUUAGAGGUAGUGGUAUGGACUGCGUACAUUCUACCCUCCCCAGACCCCACUAGGCGGGAAUAUACCGGGUUUGUUGUUGUUGUUGUAGCGUAACAACAUAGACUAAGAAAAGCAUGAUCUUUCAAAUCAAUUUUCAGUAAAAGCGAUUUUCACCUUCUCGUCAUAGCUCUUUUCGUCAUGCAUCACUGUCCGUAAUCAGUUUUUGCUUGUUACGUUCUCUAGCUUAUCCAAAAUAUUGUUGCUUUUUAACAAUGAAAUUACAGAAAUACUGAGAGUGAAACACUGAAAUGCAGCCAAAGGGAAUUGUUUUAUUUAGCCUGGUUGAGCUGUGCAUUUAUAUUGAACUUGCAAUUAGGGAUAGUUAGCUAGCAAACUAGUAAUUAGGAUUUAUUAAAAAAAAAACUAAGAUAAGCAAAAAGAAAAAGAUAAGCUUUUGUUGAAUUUGGUUUUAUUAAUGAUGUUCCUGUAAAAGAAUGCAAGAAUAGAAGACCUCCACCUUACUGGUCUUUCUUUGUGUUCCAUACUUCCAGUGACUGAGUUACUUCCAGAAAAUAAAAUAAAAAGAUAAGCUUUUGUUGAAUUUGGUCGUACUAAUGAUGGUUCCUGCAAAAGAAUGCAAGAUCAAAAGACCUCCACCUUAUCGAUCUUUCUUUGUGUUCCAAACUUCCAGUGACUGAACUACUUCAGAAAAUAAAAUAAAGAUGAAUGGAAAUGGCUUGUGGAUAAUCAUUGUAUUGCAUCCAAAUACAGAUAUUCAAAUAAGGUAGAUAUACCCCAGUAUGGGUUAGCAACAGGACUUCUAAAAAGACACAUAGGAAUACCAGAUCACGAGAGUACAGUAAUAGUCCUUGGAGAAUUAAUGAGAAUCCAGUAGAAAGGAAAUACCUACAAUGAUCAUAGUAUUACUCUAGAAGUUUUUGUUAUUCCAUUUCUGUUACUAUUUAAUGUUUCUUGGAAUUCGAUUAUCAUAUUACUUUGUUGUAGUGACUGUUCUUUUUAUGCUUUAUCAUGCGUUCUUUCACAUUUUGUCUUGGCUUCUCCACUCCCGUCAUUUUCGUUUUUCGAACUUCUUUGUAGUGCUUUUACUUGAGCCGAGGUUCUAUCAGAAACAAUCUCUUUACCUCCCAAGUUAAGGUCUGCCUGCGUACACACUACCCUCCCAGACUUGCUUGUAGGAUAACACUAGGUAUGUUAUUGUUGUUGCACUAGUAGUAGAAAGGAAAUAUGCAAGAAGUGCAAGCAUAAACUGGCAGGGCUAUUCUGCAAGUGAGUAACAGAUGAAAGACACACCUCAGUUACGAGAACUGCAACAACAGAGCACAGUACAAUGUGUACCUAAACAAUCAUCAGAGUAGGAGAAGCCCAACUUAAACGUUCCAGAUUCCUCAUCAUAUUUUUCAUCUAGUUGACUUGGAUGUGUAUUACAAGCCAAUCCUCACAAGAUUUUGAGAACUUUCAUGUUAAGUAUUCACCAGAAUUUGCAUCGGACAUGGAAACACCACAUAUACUGACAAAUCUCAGAAUUAUAGUAAUAGAGCUUCCCAUCCGAGUCUGAUCCAAGCUUCUGGUCUUAGCAAGUGUAGCAACCUCACAUAUGCAGACAAGUCUUGGAUUUCUAGACUCUAGUAAUAGAGUUCCGUUCAAAGUCAGAUCCACUAAAUUCUCAAGCUUCUGCUCUUAGCAAGUGCACUUUUGAGCUAAAAGAUUUGAGACAAACCCCGGGAAGAUAUAUGAAUCAGUUUCGCCUAGACAUUCAACAAACAUAAUAUCGACAUAGAGAUAAAAGCCUCCACACUCCAUCGACAUCUAAUUUCGAAAUUCUUAGAUAAAAUUAGGUCGCCAGAUUAGUUUGAGUGUGAAGUUGGCUUUUCAGGACAACUUGAGAGUGCAUUUGAUGUCUUUUCUCAAACUAAUAUUGCCCUCAAAGGGUACAAAAACAGAGUAAACAAAAAUAAAGUAAAUUAUGAACGGUUAUCAUACCUGUUAAUUGAUGGAGUCAUCCGAAUCAAAAUCAACUCGAAUACAAUCCAUAGCAAAUAGCAAUUAUUAAUCAUGAAAUUUAGAUAUAAACGGAUUCAAUUAAAACAUUUAAUGAUAAUCACAAGGACCAAUAUUAAGUUCUAAAAGUGUUCUGAAUUGUAAGAAAUAUAUAAAUCAACGGAGAAAAAAAAAAAGAAAUAUACAAAUCUGUUGCUACAAUGCAAGUAAAUGGUGCAGGAGAAUAAAUCUUAGUUCACAAGAGUUAUCCAACACACCUUACUCGAUUAACCUGAAAAUGAUUGUAAUGCAUUUAACAAAUUUUAUUGGAUUGAAGAAUUUUACUAAUCUAAUUGGCUAAUUACUUGAAUGUUCAUCUCCUUGGUGAGUGCUCAGUUCUCCACUUCGAAAUUUUCUUCCCAUUUUCCUUAUUGCAAUGAAAUAUGAAUUUGCAAAUUAUUAGCAGCAACUUACUUUAGUACAUUUAAUGUGAAUACGAGGGUGUAUUUGAAAAAGUCUUUCCAUCUCACGAUUAGGGUUUAUUUGAAAA
rnacentral:lncRNA from 1 species